rnacentral:sRNA from 1 species
GCUCUGAUUGUCUGCAGAUCUGCCUGCAUGCGUGGAACAGAAGAGGCCCUGCUACACUCUAAACUAUGUACGUGAAGGACUGGGAAUUCCCACAUUUCAUGGGAGAUGUUGAUGUAAAUCUCCCUGGUUUGCACACCCCUCACAUGCAGUUCAAGAUUCCUUUCUUCCAGAAAAUCUUCAAGGAGGAAUAUCGUAUUCACAUAACAGGCAAAUGGUUUAACUAUGGAAUUAUCUUCCUCGUCUUGAUUUUGGAUCUUAAUAUGUGGAAGAACCAAAUAUUUUAUAAACCUCAUGAAUAUGGGCAAUAUAUCGGCCCAGGGCAGAAGAUAUAUACAGUGAAAGACUCAGAAAGUUUAAAAGAUUUGAACAGAACCAAGCUAUCCUGGGAAUGGAGGUCCAAUCACACUAACCCUCGGACUAAUAAAACAUAUGUUGAGGGAGACAUGUUCUUACACAGCAGGUUCAUAGGAGCCAGUCUUGAUGUCAAGUGUCUGGCCUUUGUUCCAAGCCUGAUAGCCUUUGUGUGGUUUGGAUUCUUUAUCUGGUUCUUUGGACGAUUUUUGAAAAAUGAGCCACGCAUGGAGAAUCAAGACAAAACUUACACUCGCAUGAAAAGAAAAUCUCCAUCAGAACAUAGCAAAGACAUGGGAAUCACUCGAGAAAAUACCCAGGCUUCAGUAGAAGACCCCUUGAAUGACCCUUCUUUGGUUUGCAUCAGGUCUGACUUCAAUGAGAUCGUCUACAAGUCUUCCCACCUAACCUCGGAAAACUUGAGCUCACAGUUGAACGAAUCUGCUAGUGCAACAGAAGCUGAUCAAGACCCAAUGACUUCUAAAAGUACACCCACGAACUAGACUCGGAGAUAGACUUGGAGAUAGCACAAAAAGCAACCUUGAGUGUAACUUUAAAAAUUUAGUCUUUCCUUUUGUAUAUGUAAGGUUUACGUAGUGUGAGGUAAAAAUAUGAACAAUGCCACGACGGUGCUCAACAUGCUUUUUCUAGGAUUCAUUGUUUUCUAUUUGUAUUAUAAUACACGUGCCUACUGUAUACUUAACAGUCCUCUAGAGAUUGCUUUUCACAAUUGCACAAGCUAUUACUGACUUUACAGCAUAGUAGAAGAUUAGCUGAUGACCCAUGUAUCUGAUGUUCAACCAUAGUGGUGCCUUGAGACAUUAAACUGUUUUUAACUGUACCAGAAAUGAAGUGUGGAACAGUUACCUAACCUAUUUCACAUGGGUGUUUUGUAUACAAUUAUUUUGAUCUACACUUGAUGUCUGAGCAGAAAACAGAAAUAGCUAAAUGUGACUCAGGAAGUAUCUCUUGGUUUCUUAUUCAGCAGCAGAGUUGGUGACUUUGACAACUGGACUGCAGAGAAACAUGGUGAUCACCUUUUAAUUUUUAUUGGCUGUCCGCCAAAUAUAAAUACAGAUGCAAAAUUCAGUAAUAGGAGAUCUAUAACCCAACAUGGGUCACUACUCGUGAAAUGUGACUUUCUCCCACCAGUAAUUGCAAUUAGGUGAUAAUACCUAAUUAUGUUUUCCUAAUUAAAGAUAAAUUGCUACUUGAUUAAAAAUCCUGCCCUUCACCUUUGGGAACAAAGGUUAAGAGACACAGUUGGGUGAACUCUCAAAUUUACUGGCAUUUACACAAAGCCCCAGACAACCAAGGAACUGAAGUUUUCAUCGUAUGAGAGCAGCACAGCCCACCAUUUACAAUAUUCGUAUAUCUUUCUGCAGAUAUGGUUCUGGAUAGUGAAAAUUGAAAAACAUAUGCCAACCCUGAGCAAGGGAACUCCUCAAAAAAUCAUGCAGCGGAACCUUGUCAGGUAGAGAAGCCGUGCAUGAAAGAAUUUGUUUAAUGUCUUGUUUGCUUGUGUGUUUUUUGUUUUUGUUUUUUAAGAACUAAAUAUUGCACAUUAAUAAAUAAGAAUUAUACAGCAGU